rnacentral:lncRNA from 1 species
UGAACUGGGAUGAACUGGGAUGAACUGGGAGAGCACCAGCGCGCUGCUCCAGGCCAGGAAGGCACCGGUUCAAACUGGGACGGGACCAGUCAAAAGCCAGCUGGGCCAAACUGGGACGGACUGGGGGGAACUGGGACCGGAUCGGAACCAACUGGGACCAACUGGGAGCAACUGGUCUUUACUGGGACCAACUGGGACUGAUUGGAGCCAAUGGGAACCAACUGGACCCAACUGGAACCAACUGAACCCAACUGGGACCAACUGGAAAAACCAACUGGAACCAACUGGUUCUUACUGGAACCAGCAACUGGAACCAACUGGGCCCAACUGGGACCAACUGGGCCCAACUGGAACCAACCGGACCCAACUGGGAUCAACUGGAACUAACUGGGACCAACUGGGACCAACUGGGACCAACUGGAACCAACCGGACCCAACUGGGACCAACUGGAACCAACUGGGAUCAACUGGAACCAACUGGGAUCAACUGGAACCAAUCAAAUCAAACUGGUUCUUACUGGAACCAACUGGAAGAACCAACUGGAACCAACUGGACCCAACUGGAACCAACUGGAUCCAACUGGACCCAACCAGACCCAAC